AGAGCUGGGAGUGACACUGACAAGCAAUCGGCCGCGUCCAGAGCAGCAGGCGGCAUCCGGGGGGAGCGGGGCCGGCUGGGGGGCCCCAGGAGGGCUUCCUGGAACCCCAGCUCCAUGGCCGCCUGCACCCUGACACAGGCCAGAUAAGAGUCCCGGCUGCAUUAUCAGAGCCCGGCAGGGCACCGGCCUCCCUGCACCAGAAGGAAGACUCGGGGCGCAGCAGGUCCUCAAGGCGAUCUUCCCAGAGAGCGGGACCAGCGGCUGGUGGCCAGUGUGGAUGGAAUUUGCAGAGCCCUAGCUCGAGUCCGGGAGUCCCGGGCCAGAUGGGAGCAGACGCUUGCUGGCGGCAAUAGGGAAAGUGAGGCAGCUGCAAGGAGGGCGGCGGGACUGCACUCGAGUGUCCAGACCUGCUCGAUGGUGAGUGUGAAGUGACUGCUCCCCAUGUGUGCCGUGACGCCGCCUUGUGUGGACAGACUUCUGGAGCUGGGGGUGACAGGAGGAGGCAGCCGUUCCUCACAGGCCACCUGGAGCUCCCAAGGCCGGAGGAGGGAACCUGGGUUGAGGCUGAGAUGGGAUGGCGGUAUCGUGCUGUGUGGCCUUAGGUGACCACCAUGUCGGUGAGGUUGCGGUUCCUGUCCCCUGGGGACACAGGGGCCGUGGGGGUCGUGGGCCGGAGCGCCUCCUUCGCAGGCUUCAGCAGUGCACAGAGCCGGAGGAUCGCAAAGUCCAUCAACAGGAACUCCGUGAGAUCGCGAAUGCCUGCAAAAUCCUCCAAGAUGUACGGCACGCUGCGGAAGGGGUCGGUCUGUGCAGACCCGAAGCCCCAGCAGGUGAAGAAGAUCUUCGAAGCAUUGAAAAGAGGCCUCAAGGAGUAUCUGUGUGUGCAGCAGGCUGAGCUGGACCACCUGUCUGGACGCCACAAAGACACCAGGAGGAAUUCCAGGCUGGCUUUCUAUUAUGACCUGGACAAGCAAACGCGCUGUGUGGAAAGGCACAUUCGGAAGAUGGAGUUUCACAUCAGCAAGGUGGAUGAGCUGUACGAGGACUACUGCAUCCAGUGCCGCCUGCGCGACGGCGCCUCCAGCAUGCAGCGGGCCUUCGCCCGGUGCCCCCCGAGCCGCGCAGCCCGAGAGAGCCUGCAGGAGCUGGGCCGCAGCCUGCACGAGUGCGCCGAGGACAUGUGGCUCAUCGAGGGGGCCCUGGAGGUUCACCUGGGCGAGUUCCACAUCAGGAUGAAAGGCUUGGUGGGCUACGCACGCCUCUGUCCCGGAGACCACUAUGAGGUGCUCAUGCGUCUGGGCCGCCAGCGUUGGAAGCUCAAGGGUCGGAUCGAGUCAGAUGACAGCCAGACCUGGGACGAAGAGGAGAAGGCCUUCAUCCCCACGCUGCAUGAGAACCUGGACAUCAAGGUGACGGAGUUGCGGGGCCUGGGCUCGCUGGCUGUGGGUGCAGUGACGUGUGACAUCGCCGACUUCUUCACGACGCGGCCGCAGGUCAUCGUGGUGGACAUCACGGAGUUGGGUACCAUCAAGCUGCAGCUGGAGGUGCAGUGGAACCCGUUUGAUACUGAGAGCUUCCUGGUGUCACCCAGCCCCACGGGCAAGUUUUCUAUGGGCAGCAGGAAGGGCUCCUUGUACAACUGGACACCCCCGAGCACCCCCAGCUUCCGGGAGAGAUACUACCUGUCUGUCCUACAGCAGCCAACACAGCAGGCCUUGCUGCUGGGUGGCCCAAGGGCCACCUCCAUCCUCAGCUACCUGUCUGACAGCGACCUCCGGGGUCCCAGCCUAAGAAGCCAGAGUCAGGAGCUGCCUGAGAUGGACUCCUUCAGCUCUGAGGACCCCCGAGACACGGAGACCAGCACGUCGGCGUCCACCUCAGAUGUGGGCUUCCUGCCCUUGACCUUCGGUCCCCACGCCUCCAUUGAAGAGGAGGCUCGGGAGGACCCCCUGCCCCCAGGUCUCCUGCCAGAGAUGGCCCACCUCUCUGGAGGCCCGUUUGCAGAGCAGCCUGGCUGGAGGAACUUAGGAGGGGAGAGCCCCAGCCUGCCACAGGGCUCCCUGUUCCACAGCGGCACAGCCUCGAGUAGCCAGAACGGCCACGAGGAAGGGGCAACCGGGGACAGAGAGGACGGGCCUGGCGUGGCCCUCGAGGGGCCUCUGCAGGAGGUCCUGGAGUUGCUGAGGCCCACGGACUCCACCCAGCCCCAGCUCCGGGAGCUGGAGUACCAGGUCCUCGGCUUCCGGGACCGGCUGAAGCCCUGCAGAGCACGGCAGGAGCACACCUCGGCCGAGAGCCUGAUGGAGUGCAUCCUGGAGAGCUUCGCCUUCCUCAAUGCCGACUUCGCCCUGGAUGAGCUGUCCCUGUUUGGGGGCUCCCAGGGUCUCCGAAAGGACCGGCCCCUGCCCCCACCGUCAUCACUGAAAGCGUCAUCCAGGGAACUCACAGCCGGUGCCCCAGAGCUGGACGUGCUGCUGAUGGUACACCUCCAAGUCUGCAAAGCUCUGCUGCAGGCUGGUCCAGGAAUGCCUCCUGGAAGAAGUGGCACAGCAAAAGCACGUUCUGGAGACACUUUCUGUCCUUGACUUUGAGAAGGUCGGCAAGGCAACAUCCAUUGAAGAGAUCAUCCCACAGGCCUCGCGGACGAAGGGGUGCCUGAAGCUGUGGAGAGGGUGCACAGGGCCUGGCAGGGUCCUGUCCUGCCCUGCCACGACGCUGCUGAACCAGCUCAAGAAAACCUUCCAGCACAGAGUCAGAGGGAAGUACCCAGGACAGCUGGAAAUAGCGUGCCGCAGGCUCCUGGAGCAGGUGGUCAGCUGUGGUGGGCUGCUCCCCGGAGCUGGGCUCCCAGAAGAACAGAUCAUUACCUGGUUCCAGUUUCACAGCUACCUGCAGAGGCAGAGCGUCUCUGACCUGGAGAAGCACUUCACCCAGCUCACCAAGGAAGUGACACUCAUCGAGGAGCUUCACUGUGCGGGACAGGCCAAGGUGGUCCGGAAGCUGCAGGGGAAGCGGCUGGGCCAGCUCCAGCCUCUGCCCCAGACCUUAAGAGCCUGGGCGCUGCUCCAGCUGGACGGCACUCCGAGGGUGUGCAGGGCGGCCAGCGCUCGCCUGGCUGGUGCAGUCAGGAACAGAAGCUUCCGGGAAAAGGCUUUGCUGUUCUACACCAACGCCCUGGCAGAGAACGACGCAAGGCUCCAGCAGGCCGCAUGCCUAGCGCUCAAACACCUCAAGGGCAUUGAAAGCAUCGACCAGACUGCCAGCCUGUGCCAGUCUGACCUGGAGGCCGUGCGGGCGGCAGCCCGGGAAACCACACUGUCGUUCGGUGAAAAAGGACGGUUAGCUUUUGAGAAGAUGGACAAGCUCUGCUCAGAACAAAGAGAAGUCUUUUGCCAGGAGGCAGAUGUUGAAAUCACAAUAUUUUAAAAAAUCCUGGCUGAUGAGCACAAAUCUCACAUCGUUUUUUUUGCUGCUGCCCAGCCUGGACAUAGCCUGCACUCUGGGUAAUGGUGCUGUGCACUCCUCCAGGAGUGUGAGCUGCCCAGAGCUCUACCUGAGACUCCGGCCAUUGACCCAGCCCCAGGGCAUGGGCUGGUCUUUUGUACAGAGGCAGAAAAAAGCAAGGCAAAGGUACAGCAUUCCAGGGGCUGCACGGCCUCAACAGAGCGCUCAACUUCUGGCUGAGGGUCUGUGUGACCUUCCCCGAGAUGCAGAGCUGAGCCAAACUAGGUGGCCACCUACAAAAGGGCCAAGGCCAGGCAAGUUGAGGCCCUAAAUAAAAGGCUCCAAGGCAAGUGUGUAGAACUCCAGGCCUCGCUGCCGGUCAGCUGCUCGGCACUUCUGCGUCAAGAGGCACUGGGGAUGCAGCAGGCUGGCAGGUGGCUGGCCCUGCUAAUGCAAGACUGCUCAGGCCAUUUCAGCAGCAGCCAGGUGUCACCUUGGUGAGCUGGGGAAGGUGGGAAGGCACAAAGCCAGGGUUUCUACAACCACACUCUCAGCCCGACUGACUUGCUGCGAGUGCUGGUGGAGCUCACAGACGGCGGCUGGUGGAUGGUGGACUGUGAACCUCACUUUCCCUAUGUUCAGCAGCACAAAGGGAAGAAGCCACCACAUCAGCCCAGGAGCCCUGAGCAGCACAGGCAGUAGGGCCACUCACUUUGGCCAUCCGCACCCAAAUGCAAUCAAUCAACCCAGCUUCGGAAGCUACCCUAGGAUCUCGUCAAUAAACUGCUAAGAAGCCAUCAACUGGCCUAAAGAAAGAGUUCACUGAAGAACGCAAUUGCUUUAAAGAAAGAAAAAUUAGUUUCCUAUUUAAGUCUUAAAAAAAAGCAAACCAUGUCCUGAGAUGUCUGUGUUAAUAGUGCAGAGAGAACCUAGGGUUUGAGGUUGCUGUAGCAAUGGCAUUGGAGAACUUUAACUUGAACAUUCUCAUCGAUACUUCCUGGACAUAUUUUGUGUUUUUAACUUACUUAGUAUUUAUUUGCCUUGUUCAUAUGUUCAAUUUUCUGAAAUUUCAAUUAAACUAUUGGUGUUUCACUUUUUACCCAAAA